GACCUGGUUUCGACAGGGGUUGCAAAGCAGCGCAGGGCAUACCGAGGGCUGGCUACCUCGUAAAUACAACCAGAAAAAACUUAACUGCAAACGAUAACUCGUACGCACUAGCCGCUUAAUAACCGGUUAGCUCUACACCACUUCUUCCCUGGGGUGGGCUGGCAACAGCAGUAGAGUCAUUUACAGGGAAUCGCGCGAAGCCGGGUCACUUGGCGAGCGUUAAAUCCAAGGUGACUCGUCUUGCCGCAGCGUGUGCGUCCGCGUCGGCCGGAUCAAAUCAAAUGACAGCACUAAGUAUGUAGAACUGUCUGUAGAGUACUUCUGGACGCGGGUUCGAUUCCCGCCGCCUCCACCA
rnacentral:tmRNA from 1 species